rnacentral:tRNA from 1 species
UCUAAAAGCAUCGGUCUUGUAAUCCGGAGAUCGAAGGUUAAAAUCCUUCGUAGCGC